AAUGGUGAGCUGCAGUUUGAACACUAAAUAACAUUUUCUACAUCUACAAUUCAUUGUGUUUGUCUUGAGGUUUUUGUUUGAUUUUUCUAGGUGAUAAAUUGCAAGUUCUUACCUGAGCAGCUGAGCUCUUCCUUUAGAACUGUGGUUCCUUUCAAUUGAUUCAUUUGAGUUUAAUCCCUUGCCGCUGUUCCAGACCUUAUCCACUAGUGGAAUAUGCAGAGAGAUGUUGAACUUAUUCCAGGUUAACCCUUCGCCCUUGUGCUACAAUUUUAAGAUUUUGACGGUAACAGAAGAGCUUGCUUUCGAUCAAUAUCAAUAAAUUAGGUAGAUGUAGAUAACUUACAGGUGCAUAAGUGCAUUUCUGGGCUCCCUUCUUUUCUGUGGCCCCGUUUCCCUAACUAACCACUAACCAACGCCCGCCGGACACCCACCCGCUGUGAAACCAGGAGGAUGAGGAGGGCUCUAGUCGAAUGGCGACUUGGAAGGUGCAUGAUCCUUUAGGAGGGUCAUGAGUCCAACCAGGAAGAUUACUAUGACUAAUUAGUCCCUAGUAAAACUUGCUUCGAAUUUUUCUUUCUUCUUCCUUGUCCAGGUAAU